GCUCAGAGCAAGCAUUUGUAAUAUCCAAACAUAUUUAGAACUUUUCGUAAACAACAUAUUUGUUUCAGUUUCUUCUUUCUUUAAUCCUCUGUAUGAGUGCUGCCAGCUUCUCCGGCUCUGGGUCUGUGUGUAACACAAGCUGCUGCGGUGAACUCUCAGUUGUUUAACACAGUUUUUUUCCACGCAGUGUUUGGGGGCGACCACCCAAGUCCUCUGACCACACUGCACGUUGCUCCCAAGCAGAGCGGGAAGGGGAUGAAGACCUUGAAUGUGUUACUACCUCACUUCUCUCUCCCUCUCUCUCUCUCCUCCCAGCGCACCCAGCAACGGGCAUCACGUGCCCACAUAGUUGAUCCUGGCUGCUGAGGACGGCAGCGCGCAGCUGCAGCUCUGGACUGGGUUUCACCCUCCUCAACGUUGGAAAACCUCCUCACACUCUCCCCUGGACAGCUGCAGACUACCAGUCAUGGGCACCAGCGAUGGUGAUGUCUGCCGCGUGGACUCUUUAUGUGACCCUGACCUACACCCCCAUUCAGUGGUGGUGCUUUUAUACAACCGGACCUACCAGAAGGAUACAAGGUGGAUUACAAGGUGUACGCACUUGCUUAGACUAAACAGAGGAAGAAAUAAUUGUUGGCGAGACUGAGGAUUGAAAAGCCAUGGAUAGUUUGUACUACAGACCUAUCUGAAGGACCAGCUGCCUGACGUAAAUGAUGCCAUUCAAAGUGAAAAGAGGCAGUUUUGGGGAAAAAAGUUCCCAUUUAGGCCCCUGACUGUUACAUAACCACCAAGAUACAGGAUACUGGGAGCUGGAGCAGUUCAAGCUGGCAGGAAUGAAAGAAUGACAAAGAGGAAGAAAAAAAAAAAAAGAAUGAAGUGGAGCAGCAUUUCUUCAGCAUUGAUCAACUUAUAGAAAGUCCUGGUCUGCUAAAUUCUGUUGUAAACCUGAUAUCAGCAAGAGAUUUCAUCGCUACUUCAGUGUGUUUUUAUCUCAGUUUUUGACUUUGUCUAUGUGGCCUUGAUGGCGACAUUUGAGCAACAACAGAAUAUUUUGUUCUGUCUAUAGCUGCCUCUGUUUAUCCAACUAUCUCAGUUUUUUACUGAACAUAACAUCAAUUGGCAACACACAGUGCAUGGCCUUCAGGUUUGGUGAUAGCCACAGUGACAGAUCAAAGCCUUAAAUGUAAUGUGAGGAAAGCAGGGGUGCUCUUGAUUGAACGCAGGUUCACUUUGAUCCUGAUCAUCUGUGACUCAAUAAGAUGAUAAUAUGGCUCAUUUCAGCAUUUAGACCAAACUGCCCUCGAGUCACCGGUGACUCAAGCCUUGAAAUGUGAUCUCAAAACAGAGUCGAAUGAAGACAAGGUUCAAACUCCCACUUACAGUCCACUAGCUGCAUGUGUUACUGACAUUAACAAGGGUUUCAAUUGUUUUUAGCCAGACAGCAAUCCCAUCAUUCUCAGUGUUUUUGAAAGGGAGCUACUAAAGCCCACGCUCUAGGCCUGUAUGCAUUACACCCCCCCUCCUUCAUCCCUCGUGGAUGAAUGGGGGCUUCACUCAACAAUAUUCCACAGCAACGUCAUCCAUGAAAACAUUUGCAUCUCUGACAAGAACCCAUUGAAUUGGAAAGGCAACUGUAGCACUACAGCGAACAGAGGGGGGGUUUGAUAGAUGAAAAAAAAGGUCCUGUAGUUCUGUUUUGUUGUUCGCUGCUCUUUCAAAAGACAGAUCAUCCCCAAAGAGAACUGAACUCUAUCCACUGCCAAGAUUUUAUCCUCUACAACUUCAUUCAAGAUUUCUUCAGUGGUUCUUGUUGUACUAAUGCGCAAGAUGCACUGUCCGCACAUCAAAAAGCACAACACAAAAGGAUGGCUAACAAAGAGCAAAAGCAUUAACAAUAGUACAUGAAAAGCUGAUUUUCCACCCUCUAUUGUAGAAGUAAUUUGAGUUCAAGUUCACGCUCUUAUACAAAACAACUGGAAUGGGCCUUACUAUUAUGAAAAGGUAUUUUAAAAGCAACUGGAGGCCAAAUUAUGAGAUUAUAGCUUAAAGCAAACAAAUAGUAUUUAAUUCCCACUGAGCAGACUCAUAGUGGUUAGAUUAAUGCAGUAUGGUCUAUCAUUAGCUAAACCCUUCAUUACUUUAUGCCCUGAUCAUUAGCCAGUUAGCGACUGACCACUCAAGACAACUUGCCAUCUGAUGUUCCUCCCUACUGCUCACAGUUUUGUGUUUCUCUAUGGCAACAUCAGAGCAGCAGAGCGCCGGCUACAAAGCAGAGCUUCCUGUCUCUCUAAGCCGGCCGGAGACACACAAGAGAGAGAGAGAAAGAUUUUAUCCCCCUACAUGGAGAGAUCAGCUCAUUCAGAUGGAUUAACCCUUCCUGGUGGUCACAUGCAGGGCAAUAAGACAAUCACCACAGUGCUGCAUAGCUGAAGGGGAAUGCUUUUGAUGUGCCAUGUCAGGAGAAGACAUUCAACCUCAUCAUAAAAGAUGUCAGUGGGUGCUCAAAUAUCAAAAAGGUGCAAACUUCACACCUUAAGUCAUUCGAGGAAAUGGCCCAUUUUACGUCUUUUUUUUGGGGGGGGGGGCUUGGUAUUUGAUGGGGAAGAGUUGUAAACCCCCCACCCUCAGGCUCAUCAAGACUCCAUUGUCGUCGGUAUGACAAAAGAUGGAGUAUGACCUGCAGGCAGCCCUGUCAUGUUCACUUCUAGCCUUUCAGUGCUUUAAAAAAAACAGAUAAAUCAUGAAGAAUGGCAUCUUCAUGUGCAUUUCUGUUUCAAAAUAACACUUCAGAAACUGUUUUAAAAUUGUGAAAGUGCUUUAACGCUCUGCAUAUAAAAAAACAGCUCUGUUAAUGUUCUUUUACAUAAAGAAGAAGCAUUGAUGCUUUUUCCCCCAGUUGUUUUGGAAAAUUUUAUCCAUUUCACCAAAUCAAUGUCAGACAUUGAUGUUUACUUUGAGCCACUGUUGUUUAUAUCUUUUAAAUACAAAGCCUGAUCAUAUUCUAGUUGAUAGAAAAUACCAAACACUAAUAAUGAUUACAUAUUGUACAAAGACAUCUAUUGUUAUGUUGGAAGGAAAAUCUCAGGUUUAGUUAUUCAUUGAUGAGUUAUCACAAUUUUACUGUUAUGUUAUUCACGAUUUUUGUGUUUCCUUUCUUUCAUAUUUGGAAAAUUUAAAGAUUUUUUUUAGAUUUACUCAAUUGUAGAGGUAAUGUUCAACAAGCUGAGCCUAUAUAUGUUUUUUAUUAGUGGAUUCAUUGCAUUACAAACUUUGUUUCCUUCAUUUUUUUUUAUUAUCAAUGCUGAUUUGUAUUUCUUAAAGACAUGGGCAAAAAAAAGACUGACUGUUACUAUUAUUCAUCUUAUUUUACCUCACUGUAUCUUAUGUUUUCCUAUUUAUAUAUUUUUUUGGAGAAUAAAGUGAGGAACGGAUUAGAAUGGAUUUUCUGAUUUUUUUUGUUGGGUCCUUAAUCUGUCUGAUUUUGUGAAUGUAUGGAGGAUUAUAUACAAGUUAUUCAUGAAUAAAUGAAAGUUUUAAAUAAA